AAAUGAGGAUUUGAGUGAAGAAAAAAAGGAGAUGGAGGAGGACUGAGGAGAGGCAGACAGUCGAAGAGGAAGCUGAAAUGAAGAGUUGAGCGGUGUGUUCUCACUCUCCUGCCCUGUCUGUACUGCUCUCCAGGGAGCCAGAAUUCUGGAAAAGUAGCGGAAAGAAAGUCAGGGUGAGUCAGAUGGGGUAAAGAAAGAUGGGAAGUCCUGGAAAGAAAAACAUCUGCUUCACUUUCUGUUUUAAGGCAGAAAAGGAUGUCAGACUCUCAGAUGAAGAACACGGUUUACUUUGGAGUUUGUCUUGGUGUAACGGAGCUUUGGUUUGUGUAACUUCUCCAAAACUUCGUAAAACUUGAAUUCAAGUCCCAGAAGUGCGUUGUUUUGUACGUUAUUAUUCUCAACUCUGUCGGGUUUUUCAAACGUGGUGUUACUCUGUUAACAGUAAAGGGUUUCUGUCUUGAGUUGGUUGUGCUGAAGGUGAAAAUGACGGAAGAUUAGUUAAUAUGAAGAGUGAUGAUGAUAAUGAGAAGGAGGAGGAUGUGCCAGACGGAUGACAGAUAUGGUUGUACAUAGAUAUCUCUUUUAUCGGUGAUGAAUGAUGUGUAAUUUCUUUGUCCGGAAGACAGUGAAGUACUCAUAAUCAAACAUCCUGUAUCAGUGAGAACCAAACAGUAAUGGCUGAUAAACAUGGCGGUAUUAUUUUAAACACUUUUCUUUGGUUAAGUUUUUACAUUUAUGGCAUUUAAGACUUUUAUUCCACUGGAUUUGUAUCUGUAUUUGCUUGAUAACUAUUUCAGAUUUGAUAUGCACUUAGACUGUGUUAUAAUUUUGAGAGGACACUGGUGAUAUCAAUUGACUCUUACAGCAGAUCAAUAUCAGGACUUCUAGGAAGAGACCCACAACUAGUGUCAAUAUAAGGACCUGAUCAUCCAAUCCAAUGUAAAGUGCUUUGAGGGUCUCUGAUAAAGCCCUAUAUGAAAUCUGAUGCAUUAUUAUUAUUAUUAUUAUUAUUAUUAUUAUUAUUAUUAUUAUUAUUAUUAUUAUCAUUAUUAUUAUUAUUAUCAUACACAUUGGCUGCAUGUUGAGUUGAUGUAGUAACUUCACUUCUGCCCAUUGUCAGAUUUGAAGCGUAAACUCCCCCUUGAUACAGUAGAUGCUGGUGCAUUAUGCAGGUGGAACCAUGGUGAGCGUAGACAGGACCUAGUAGAGCUCUUGGGUUGAUUUGAAGCAGACACUUCUGGAUUUGGAGAGUCCAAUUGUUACCUCUCUCAGUUUCUUCUUUACUCUGCUCGUCCACUACUGAACACUUAAGGAGCCUGAAUUUGUCAACAGUGCUGUCAAUCAGUCAUCUGUUUAAAAUGAAUUAACUAAUGGAAACUAAACCUUUUGGGAAAAUGAACACUUGGAUAUAAAUAAACAAGAUAAGAGCUCACUAUGAUGUCAUUGACAUUGCUCGAGAAAAUCUUUCUUGACAUGUAUCGUAAUUUUAGAGUUCGAUUCAUGUCCAAUCUGUUAACAUUAAGGAGACGAUGCCUUAGGAUUUCUUCUGCAGCCAGUCAGGGGAGCUCUAAAGUUUGGGCUUUACUUUCGGAUGAGCUUACAGGUUUUAACACAGUAUUGUAUACAUAAAAAAAUGUAAAAUUUGAGUCUUUGUAAGAAGGUUUAACAGCGACUUUGACUUAAUUUGAUCAAUCAGACUAACAUGGCUCCCUUCGUUCUGAACAUGGCAAGCAGGAAAAAGGACUUGACAAUAGAUUGCUUUAAGUUUGGUUAACUUCAGACAGAAGUAGCAGAGAUUUAAAACUUUACGUCUCAGUUGCUCAACCUGAACUGAACUCUGACGGAGGUCUUAAAAUACCCCUAUGAAAGGUAACUCCCUGAGUUUAAUCUCCAUUUGUACUUUUCAAACAGAGCGAAUGUUAAUAUAAUGAGGGUAAGAAAUCCAACUAUGCGUCUUUUAUUUUAUGAAACAUAGAGGAGGUUAUUAAACUGGAAAAGGUCAAUCAUAAUGUCGGGGUUUCGUCAGGUAAGCUGAGAUGAGGAGUGGCUCUGUGGCCUGAGAGGUCAGGUUAAUUAUUCAGAGGUUGAUUGUUCUGGUCUUUUGGUGCGGCGCUCAAAGGGGCGAUGCUGUAUUGUGCCCUCGUGUCAUAACUGCAGCUCGCUUUUCCAAUCUCACUUUGUUAAUGUUUGUCACCGGUGAGAAAAGGUCUCAACAGGCAUCUCAGUUCAGACGAGCAUCUAAGGCUGAAAUCAGUUCAGUUUUUUAUCUUUUCCUCCCAGAUGUUUCACUUUGUAUGUCAAAGAAUUUCUCCUUUCCAGACAUGAAUCAGAAAAAAAAAAUAGAGCUCAUAAAGAAAACAUCCUUGUUCACUCGAAGUCAAGUUGACUCAAAAAAACAUCAUUAAUCAGUAACCCACAGUGAGGGGAACACUGUUGAUGUCUGACCUUCUUUCUGUUUAUUCAACCUACUUUUUAAAUCAAAGUGGCUCUUGUGGUCCAUACAAAGUGUUUUAGGGGACAGUUAGAAAAGACAAAGACAUCAACAAACAGUGAGACAGAUGAAAAAGUCGCAAAAAAGUCCAGAUCAAGCAAAAGCACCGCCUUAAAGUUAAAUGAAGUUAAAUUAAUUUAUAAAGAUGAUACUUGAAACAUAUUUUCAAAGAGUAUUAAAUAUUGGUGAUUAAUUAAUAUUUAAAAGCACCCUGAGAAGUUUUCAUUUUGUAUUGACUUUAGUGACCCUUGUGGACCCCUAUUUAAGUGUUUUUCAAGAUGAAGACUGCAUUUCCCAUGAGCAUCAUUACCCAGCUCUUAAGUUUGCAUGUGUUUUUGUCAAAACUAAAUGAACUUCAUAUCUUCUUUUCAAUAACAUUUUUGUUAAAGCUCCAGUAAGGAACUUUCCGGUUGUGUCAUUUUUGGUGCCCCCUGUGAGCACGGCAGUCUCUGAUUAUCUUGACCUCUACAUGCUCAAGAAUAAUCUCAAUAUUUCUGGCGUCUCACAUUUAAAUCAAUCAGGUCAAUACCACUCCUCAAUAUUUCCAUAUUCCACUCAAGUUUUUGUUUCCUCCAAUCAUUUCUCUGCAAGUACUUCACUUUGGAAAUUUGGUUUAAAUUGAUAAAAUUAAUGAGACUCCUCAGAGUACAGCCAGUGAUUGCAGAAAAAAAGCUCCUUUGGAGAACUUUAAACUUUGGUAGAUUUGCUCAAGUUAUCUUUUUUCAGCUAUUUUGGCAUUUAAAGCUCCUGUGAAUCACACUGUGGUCAGGGCGGUUCACCGUGUAUCUUAUCUUGUACGUGUGUCGGUAGUUUGUUCCAAUGAAAAAUGUCAGUUUCCUCACCCGUAACUGUCAAAAUGUUACUCAGCUUUAAAUGUAAACAGAGGUUAUUGCUUCACUCCGUCAUCCAGGACUCAUACCAUAUAUGAAGUUAAAGUCUGUCACAAACUCCCCAUUAGUCACAUCAGAAACACGCACUAGAAAUACCAGAAGAAUCAGCUUUACUGUUUUACUCUUGAUGAUUUUUGGAAGUAUUAGUCAGUCAGUUUCAUAACCAGAUAAAAUCUCAUCCUCCUGAAGUUUGGAUCCACUGUAAAACAAGACCAGCCUGGGAGACUGUGUGCUGUACAUAUGGCUUCUGUAACUUUUUAUUGUACAUGUGCAUGUUCACGCUCACUGACUUUCACUUCUUGUACUUUGCAGAGAGCAGUCAGACUUAUUUUCUUCUGUGUCUGGUUUCAGUUAAUUCACCCCAAACAGCCAACGUAUCGUUGCUGUGAGCUAACUUUAGUGAGAAACAGACUCACCGAUUCUAUCACUGUGUUAUUGUUCAGCUCAGCCCUGGACUGAACUCAGAACUUAGUAGAAACUCUGAGGUCCACCAAACCUCUUCCUCUCUUUUGUUGUCUCAUACCUUUAUUUUUUUACAUCUUUGUCGCUGAAAGUGAACCAUUUCAAGCUUUUUUAUCAGCUUUUCCAGUGAUGUCUUUGCAUCCUUGCACCCUAAAACACACUCUGCAUCCUCUGAACUCAGUAAUAGCAUAUAAAACAAGGACACAACAAUAGAAAGUGGAUUUCUAGACCUCUACUUGAGCUCAGUGUAUGUAGAGGGUUUCAGUUUAUCUGUGGUUGAACUGUGGGCAGCUGAAACUCCAACUUGCUCUGCAGAGUAAAAGUUUGACUCAUAUCUGCACCUUCCUGACCUAGAUACAUAUUUGUCUUCACAUAUUCCAAUAAGACAGUUAUAAUAAUGGUGUCUGCUUUUUUCAUCUCUAAAGCCAAACACAGCGCAUCUUUAUUGAAACCCCAGGAUGAAACACAAAAUUAGUUUCCACUCAGUUUGUUUGGAGUGUAAUUAAAUUUAAUGCUAACAUAUGGACUGUCCUGUUAUUGGCUGUAAAGUACAGUUUGUACUGACUGUGUAUGUGUUUGUACAACACUUCCCACUCUUCGGGACCAGCGGGUCUUUACUGCUUUCACCUCUCUCUGCAUUGAAUGAAUCAGAACUUACACUGAAACAAUAUCUGACUUUUGGUCCUCAAGUCAAAGCUUUUCCUUUUCUGCACCAUCAUGCUUGGUGUUUUUAUUAACACAAAAGAAACUAAAAAUUGACAAUUGUAUUCUUUGAAAUUUGUGAUCCAAAGUCUCUAUUUUUAUUUAACAAAACAUAGCUCUUCUUAUUUUUACCUGAAGUUGUUCAAUCUUACACCAGCAACUCUGACGUUAAGCCUGCUCAAUAUGAAAAACAUAUUAGAUGUGUCUUGAUAGUAAUUGAUAUUUCUGAUUUAAUGUUAUAAAUCAGUUUUUUUGCAAUGUCUUUAUUGCAGUUCCUCAUUUUGCAGCAUUGAUAAACAUGCAGCUCGGGUUGAAUCUUGUUUUGCAAUAGUAGAAACCAUCAGCUGUUGUCCCAUUGUAUUUUAAGCCAUGUGGAGCCAUCGCCAACUGUAGGGGGGUUUUGAGUCGAGCCAGCAGCCGCAGACGACUUUUUACUCAAGCCUUUCACAGUUUUCCUGCAUUUACAGUCUAACUCACAAUUUAUUGGUGAUACUUCAGAGCAGAUUUUAAGCUGCUCUACCGUGCAGAUAUCUGUUGGACGACGUGGGAGCAAAAUGUUCUUUGUGGUGGUUUGGAUUUCAGUCUACCCCACACAGACUGUGUGUCACAUCGUAUAAAGCCAAAGCCCACUGAAUAGUUCUAUUACCUAUAGGAUCCAGAACACAUGUGAUACCAAAACCUGGACCAGCGCCUAAAGACUGUAUUUAUUUGCAGAAUCUGUAAGCUGAGAUGAUUGAAGCUUCUUGAAUAUUAGUCACAGAAGACAGAAAAUGACUCUGCCCUCUUUUCCUCUCCUUUCCUUUUUCCUUUAUUUUAAUCAUUAAGUGUGAAGAAGUAGAGGGUCCAGGUUAACCCAGCUAGAGCUCAAGCCAACACAGGCUUCUUGCCUCAACUUUGCCUUACCGGUGCUUUAUGCUGCGCUCCAGUUGUACUCGGAAGUUGGGAUUUCCGUGCUGCAAUCGGAAAUUCAUCUGGAACGCCCCCCUGAAGUCAGAUCUCCGUCUCGGAAAGUCGGACGAUCCUCACUCACCAACCCCGACUUGACGACAACAGCAUAAUUCAAGAUGGCAGUGCAGUGCAUCAACAGUAAAGAGUAACAGUAAAAGCUCUCGUAAUGUAUUAUUUAUUAGCACUUUCUGUUUUGUUAUUGUGAGAUCAAAUAAGUGGUAGAUGUUGUAAUGCCCAAUGUCUAACUGUGAACACGGUGCUAUGGUGUUUGUAGAGUAAAAUACUGUGUUGUGCAUUGUUUACAACUGGUAUGGCUAACAACGGCUAGCAACCGCUAACAACGGCUGGCAAUUGUAAACAACAGCUAACAACAGGUAACUGUAGGCGUCCAUCUUGAUUUUGCGACUUGUUAACUGGAACACUGUCAACUCGGGUAUAGCGUCAUCCGACUUCUGAGGUAACUGGAACGCAGCAGCUCCAGAGAGAUCCUUUCUUACUUUCCCUUGCUGAUUUAGGGGCGUAGGGGGAGGUAGAGCUUACAGCCAAACCCUUGCUCAGAAGGACUUGGACCCAAACAAGCUUCUGGCCCUGACUCAGCCUUUCCUGUCCUCGUUUUUUGUCAUGAGAAGUCAGGACAAGAAAGUGGAACUAUCAAGUGAAAUGCUGAGACUCUCACAGUUGCACUUUUUAAAGUUGUUAUCACAUAUGUAGCACUUUUUUGACAGUAACAUGUUUACGUGAUUGUCUUAUAUGUACUGUUAAUGUGUUUUGAAUGGCAGUGCAUGUGAGAGGUCGGUCUUGAAACGGUGUGUCUGAGUCAACCUUAGUUUUUCAGUGCCACGCUGGUGUUGUUCUCCAUGGUGGUAGCUGCUAAUGGGCAGUUGACAAGAAGCGGCUAUCACAGCAAUUUCCUGCUUUUGUUCAGACACUGAAACAGAUUUCUGUGAUGAAACGUAGACACAGAUAUGGUGAAACAACACAAGCACUUACAUUUAAAGUGUUUGCAGAAUCAGCAGCUGGAUUUGAAGUCUUUCUGGUACACAAAGUUUGCAGGUUGAGCCUGUUGAUGGCACAGAUGAUCUGAAUAACUAUCUUUAACCUCUCAGCCUUUGAUGCAAUUGUAAUACUCAUCUUAAUUUUGUCCUCCUCUGUUAUAUUUCCUCCCCUCCCUUCCUUUUUAAGGUGGUAUUAGUUACACUGGCUGUUGAUCUGAAGCUUUCAGGAACAAUACAGGAUGUAGCCAAACAGGAAAGAAACAUAUCUUUGUUCCCCCUGGGGCUGCAACUUAACCAUUGUUAAAACUGAUUUAUUUGUGGGUUAUUUUUGGAUCAGUUGAUGGGUUAUAAAUUUAGAUGAUAAAAGGCGCAAAGAAAGUUUUCAAGAGGUCAACACAACAUCGUCAAACUGACCAAGAGUUAGAAAUCUAACAAUCUUCAGUCACACAAGACGAGCAGAAAAGUGUCAAACUUACUCUAAAUGUCAGUGAAUAAGAGGAUAUGGCUGAAGCUUCAUGUAAAGUACUGUGUGGUUUUCCUGCUAUUAUUAGCCGGCAGUCUGAUAAGAGAAGUAUCUGAUGAUAGAGACACAGCAGAAAACUUCAACUGGUGCGUUUUGGAAUGCUGGACACGCCUCAAACCAAACCAGGACUUCAUAUUUAUGGAUUUACUUCAAGAAUCCAGGAAAAAAUGUAGGCCUUCAAGCAAUAUCUCACAGAAAGCUGGCAGAUUCUUUUGGAUGGUCCCUGCGGUGAAAGAGGCUUAAAGAGGUUUAAAGUGACUGAUAACACGUCUCGCAUACAGUUACUCAGCUUAGUUAAAGGAGGGGCUGUUCUUAUCAACUACAAAGACGCAUAACAAAGGCAAAUUGAUCACAUUAUCACUUAAAAUGAUAACAGAUACCUGAGAGAGUGAGUACAGGUCGACACAGAGACAUACAUCAGACAGACAGGUGUUUAAAGUCAGUGACACAGAUAAGCUCCUUGUUUGAGGGGCAUGGUUUUGGUUCACUUCGUAAAUCAACCAAAAAAGGGCAGCCAAAGUUGCUUUCACUCACACCGUCAGAGCAUGCAGAGCCAAACCUAACACAAGUCCCCUUCAGACAUGCACUAAGGCCCGAACUACACAAAGGCGGAUAUUUAUUUAUCUGGAUAUUUUUGUACUCCCGUCUAAAUAAAUGUACCUGUCCACACGUGUUAGUUCAAAAAAAUAUCUGCGUCCACACGUAGGCUUCAAACUCAAUCCUAUCUGGAGCCGCUUUGACAUACGAAAGUUUAGCUUCCAUUCAUCUGCAGGCACAGCCCCUCUAACGAAGUUGUCCCACCACUUGCUGGUCCGACCGGGU